UUGUCUCAAAGAUUAAGCCAUGCAUGUCUAAGUAUAAGCAACUAUACAGUGAAACUGCGAAUGGCUCAUUAAAUCAGUUAUCGUUUAUUUGAUAGUACCUUACUACUUGGAUAACCGUGGUAAUUCUAGAGCUAAUACAUGCUAAAAAUCCCGACCUCUGGAAGGGAUGUAUUUAUUAGAUAAAAAACCAAUGCCUUCGGGCUCCUUGGUGAUUCAUGAUAACUUAACGAAUCGCAUGGCCUUGCGCCGGCGAUGGUUCAUUCAAAUUUCUGCCCUAUCAACUUUCGAUGGUAGGAUAGUGGCCUACCAUGGUUUCAACGGGUAACGGGGAAUUAGGGUUCGAUUCCGGAGAGGGAGCCUGAGAAACGGCUACCACAUCCAAGGAAGGCAGCAGGCGCGCAAAUUACCCAAUCCCGAUUCGGGGAGGUAGUGACAAUAAAUACUGAUACAGGGCUCUUUUGGGUCUUGUAAUUGGAAUGAGUACAAUUUAAAUCCCUUAACGAGGAACAAUUGGAGGGCAAGUCUGG
rnacentral:rRNA from 1 species